rnacentral:rRNA from 1 species
UACGAAGGGGGCUAGCGUUGCUCGGAAUCACUGGGCGUAAAGGGUGCGUAGGCGGGUCUUUAAGUCAGGGGUGAAAUCCUGGAGCUCAACUCCAGAACUGCCUUUGAUACUGAAGAUCUUGAGUUUGGGAGAGGUGAGUGGAACUGCGAGUGUAGAGGUGAAAUUCGUAGAUAUUCGCAAGAACACCAGUGGCGAAGGCGGCUCACUGGCCCGGUACUGACGCUGAGGCACGAAAGCGUGGGGAGCAAACAGG